UCAAACUUGGUCAUUUAGAGGAAGUAAAAGUCGUAACAAGGUUUCCGUAGGUGAACCUGCGGAAGGAUCAUUACCGAGCAUCCGCGCCCGCGAGGGGCAGGACUCUCCCACCCUGUGAACCCUACCAGCGUUGCCUCGGCGGGCGCCAUCGCCGCCCGGGGCCCCCCCAACCCUUCCCAGCGAGCCCUGUCUGAUGCACACCGCAACGUUUUUGAAAACUUUCAACAAUGGAUCUCUUGGCUCUGGCAUCGAUGAAGAACGCAGC
rnacentral:misc_RNA from 1 species